rnacentral:lncRNA from 1 species
GCGGCAGCCAUAUAGAAAAUUUUUGCUGUUUCCAUGGCAACGGCGGCCAUUUUGAAAAUUCUAAACUCGAAAGACAAGUCUACAUAAGGUAGGCAACAUUUGUUAUAAAGUUUCAUUAAAUUUAAAGCAUUUUGAAGUUUUUCAUAUUUUUGCUGUUUCCAUGGUAACGGCGGCCAUUUUGAAUAUUCCAAAGUCAAACCCCCGCUGCAAUUUUUUCCCUCCAUAAUCAUAUACCAUUUAAUGUCUCUAGAAUAAAUUUAACAUUGAUGUUCUGGAAUGUUCUGUGAAAAUUCAAAGUUUUGACCUUUUUGCAUUGUUUCCAUGGUAACAACAGAUAUUUUGGAAAUUCCAACGCCAAAUUCCACAUUUUCCAAUGUUGCUCAUCGUUACUGUGAAGUUUCAUUAAGUUUUGAGCAUUUUGAUUUUUUUGAAAUUUUUGGUAUUGUUUCCAUGGCAACAUAGUAGUUCCAAUGAGUGUCAAAAUCAUCCAAUACCUGUAUAUAGUGGGCACCUACAUUGUAUCAAAAUAUAAUGAUUCUGACUUAAAGCAUAACCAAACAGUUCACCGAAACUAAAAACUGGAUUUUUUCACAUUUGUUCUGUUUCCAUGGUAACGGCGGCCAUUUUUUACCAUUCCAAUGUCUCUUGCACAACUCCACAUGGCGGUUCAUAUGAUGGUAUAGUUCCAUCAACAUGGGUAUGACCAAUUAAGAGAAAUAGCGUGGACAAAAUGUGUGGAAGAAUAAAAAUAAUAACUAGAUUUGCCAUUGCAAGCAAUAGCGGAUGGCACCCUUCCCCUAUUGCCAGGUGAUCGGCAGCCAUUUUGAAAAUUCCAAAGUCAAAGAUUGCAUCUACAGAUGUGUAUUAACAUUGUUGUAACGUUUCAUUAAUUUUGGAGCAUUUUGAAAUUUUUGAAAUUUUUGCUAUUUCCAUGGUAACGGGUACCAUUUUUAAAAUUCCAA